UCGGGAAACUUCCACAAUGGGCGAAAGCCUGAUGGAGCGACGUCGCGUGAUGGACGAAGUGCUUCGGCACGUAAACAUCUUUUAUGUGGGAUGAAAUUAUUGACAGUACCACAUGAAUAAGGGGCUCCUAACUCUGUGCCAGCAGGAGCGGUAAUACAGAGGCCCCAAGCGUUAUCCGGAAUCACUGGGCGUAAAGGGUGUCGAGGCGGUUGUAUUAGUCGUUCGUAAAAUCUACGAGCUUAACUUGUAGGCGGCGAACGAAACGGUACGACUUGAGGUUUGGAGAGGUGCGUGGAACUCACGGUGUAGGGGUGAAAUCCGUUGAUAUCGUGGGGAACACCAAAGGCGAAGGCAGCGCACUGGCCAAAAUCUGACGCUCACACACGAAAGCUAGGGUAGCGAAGAGGAUUAGAUACCCGGGUAGUCCCUGAGCGGGCUGGCAAGGCGCAU
rnacentral:rRNA from 1 species